rnacentral:rRNA from 1 species
UGGGGAAUAUUGGACAAUGGGGGAAACCCUGAUGCAGCGACGCCGCGUGGGGGAUGACGGCCUUCGGGUUGUAAACCUCUUUCAGUAGGGAAGAAGCCUUCGGGUGACGGUACCUGCAGAAGAAGUACCGGCUAACUACGUGCCAGCAGCCGCGGUAAUACGUAGGGUACAAGCGUUGUCCGGAAUUAUUGGGCGUAAAGAGCUCGUAGGUGGUCUGUCACGUCUGCUGUGGAAACGCAAGGCUCAACCUUGCGCGUGCAGUGGGUACGGGCGGACUAGAGUGCAGUAGGGGAGUCUGGAAUUCCUGGUGUAGCGGUGAAAUGCGCAGAUAUCAGGAGGAACACCGGUGGCGAAGGCGGGACUCUGGGCUGUAACUGACGCUGAGGAGCGAAAGCAUGGGGAGCGAACA